rnacentral:rRNA from 1 species
GGAUUAUGUGGAUUAAUUCGAUGCAACGACGAAAACCUUACCUACCCUUGACAUGCUAGGAACUUGCCAGAGAUGGCUUGGUGCCCGAAAGGGAACCUAGACACAGGUGCUGCAUGGCUGUCGUCAGCUCGUGUCGUGAGAUGUUGGGUUAAGUCCCGCAACGAGCGCAACCCUUGUCAUUAAUUGCCAUCAUUCAGUUGGGCACUUUAAUGAGACUGCCGGUGACAAACCGGAGGAAGGUGGGGAUGACGUCAAGUCCUCAUGGCCCUUAUGGGUAGGGCUUCACACGUAAUACAAUGGUUGGUACAACGAGUUGCGAGUCGGUGACGGCGAGCUAAUCUCUUAAAGCCAAUCUCAGUUCGGAUUGUAGGCUGCAACUCGCCUACAUGAAGUCGGAAUCGCUAGUAAUCGCGGAUCAGCACGCCGCGGUGAAUACGUUCCCGGGCCUU